CAUGUACAUGUACAGUACAUUGUGCAUGUAUUUCUACGCGAACAGCACUGCACAAAUUAACAUGUGUACGUGUGAUUGCCGUUACGGCACGUACGGUUAAUGCAUCCAGCGUGGAACCUGAUGACCUCUCUCCACUUGCGGGCCCGGCACAAGCGUCAAAUUAAUCAGUUUCAUGUGAGCGUGACACUCAUGUGACCGAACCAAAAGCCGGAUGUCGGACAACUUCAACUUGACUCAGUGUAACAACCGUUUGCCAACUCAACUCGGAACAACACUACCAUUGAGCACUGGUGUUUUUCAUACAACU
rnacentral:misc_RNA from 1 species